rnacentral:rRNA from 1 species
AAUGAACGUUGGCGGCGUGGAUUAGGCAUGCAAGUCGAGCGAGAACCCAGCAAUGGGGGACAGCGGCGAAAGGGACAGUAACGUGUAGAUCAUCUGCCCUCAGGUCCGGGAUAGCUGCGGGAAACUGCAGGUAAUACCGGAUAACAUCUCCGGAUCAAAGGUGUGAUUCCGCCUGAGGAUGAGUCUACAUCCUAUUAGCUAGUUGGUGGGGUAAUGGCCUACCAAGGCGAUGAUGGGUAGCGGGUGUGAGAGCACGACCCGCGUCAUUGGGACUGAGACACUGCCCAGACACCUACGGGUGGCUGCAGUCGAGAAUCUUCGGCAAUGGGCGCAAGCCUGACCGAGCGACGCCGCGUGCGGGAUGAAGGCCUUCGGGUUGUAAACCGCUGUCAGAGGGGAUGAAAUGCAGGUGGGUUCUCCCAUCUGUUUGACAUAGCCUCAGAGGAAGGACGGGCUAAGUUCGUGCCAGCCGCCGCAGUAACAC